rnacentral:misc_RNA from 1 species
GUUGUGUGUUCAAUUGCAUCUUUAGUUUUACACAUUGGUAUUACCUAUUCUCUUGUUAAUUGGACAAGUCUUGGUUUUAAAGGAGCACCAUUAGCUGCUUCGAUUUCGAUUUGGAUUUCGUUCCUCAUGUUAGUGGUAUAUGUUCUUUGUUCGAAGAAGAAGUUUAGUCAAAUCUGGAGGGAAGGUCUCUCAUUCGUGUCGUUUCAUCAUAUCUUUACAAACUUGAAGUUGUCUUUGCCCUCUGCUGCCAUGAUAUGUUUGGAAUAUUGGGAUCAUGAGUUUCUUGUGUUAUCUGCUGGUUUGAUGCCAAACUCACAAACAACUACUUCCCUAAUUGCAAUGAGUGUAAACACCGAAGCUGUUGCUUUCAUGGUUUCUUAUGGUC